rnacentral:rRNA from 1 species
UACAGAGGUCUCAAGCGUUGUUCGGAUUCAUUGGGCGUAAAGGGUGCGUAGGCGGCGCGGUAAGUCGGGUGUGAAAUCUCGGGGCUUAACUCCGAAACUGCAUUCGAUACUGCCGUGCUUGAGGACUGGAGAGGAGACUGGAAUUUACGGUGUAGCGGUGAAAUGCGUAGAUAUCGUAAGGAAGACCAGUGGCGAAGGCGGUCUCGUGGACAGUUCCUGACGCUGAGGCACGAAGGUCAGGGGAGCAAACGGG